GUUAGAGAAGACCAAUUAAUAGACAGUGCUAAAGCCUGGAUCUCCUGAAUCCUGGAUUUCGGUGUGUGAUUUCUUAUAUGCAUAUUUGCAUAUUGGUGAAGUCUGGGCUUUUAGUGUACCCAUCACUAACUAAUGAAAGUGUCAUAAGUUAGAUUCCUGGGAAGAAAAUUCUGAGACACAUUCUGCUGGAUGAUUAUUAGGGCCCAUCCUUGGUUUCAACAUCCAUAGAAGGAAGGGGGAAGAAGGAAUCGAACAGAGGAGAGACAGAAGUCGAGAUGCAUUUCAGGCCGGGACUCUUGACUGAACCC
rnacentral:lncRNA from 1 species